GAUGAACGCUGGCGGCGUGCCUAAUACAUGCCAGUCGAGCGAACAGACGAGGAGCUUGCUCCUCUGACGUUAGCGGCGGACGGGUGAGUAACACGUGGAUAACCUACCUAUAAGACUGGGAUAACUUCGGGAAACCGGAGCUAAUACCGGAUAAUAUAUUGAACCGCAUGGUUCAAUAGUGAAAGACGGUUUUGCUGUCACUUAUAGAUGGAUCCGCGCCGCAUUAGCUAGUUGGUAAGGUAACGGCUUACCAAGUCAACGAUGCGUAGCCGACCUGAGAGGGUGAUCGGCCACACUGGAACUGAGACACGGUCCAGACUCCUACGGGAGGCAGCAGUAGGGAAUCUUCCGCAAUGGGCGAAAGCCUGACGGAGCAACGCCGCGUGAGUGAUGAAGGUCUUCGGAUCGUAAAACUCUGUUAUUAGGGAAGAACAAAUGUGUAAGUAACUAUGCACGUCUUGACGGUACCUAAUCAGAAAGCCACGGCUAACUACGUG
rnacentral:rRNA from 1 species